rnacentral:rRNA from 1 species
ACCCUGACCAAAAUAGACCGUGAACGCGUCAUCCAUCCCGCUGAGUGGUUCGCUGCUCGGCCAAGUCCUUGUAACCCCCUCUCUUAGGAGUGGGGGCUCGGGGUAAAAGAACCCACGGCGCCAUAGGCGUCAAGGAACACUGUGCCUAGCCCGGGGACGCGGCUUGCUUGCUGGCCGCCCCUCGUGCUGCAAUGCUAUCUAAUCCACACGACUCUCGGCAACGGAUAUCUCGGCUCUCGCAUCGAUGAAGAACGUAGCGAAAUGCGAUACCUGGUGUGAAUUGCAGAAUCCCGCGAACCAUCGAGUCUUUGAACGCAAGUUGCGCCCAAGGCCAUUCGGCUGAGGGCACGCCUGCCUGGGCGUCACGCCAAACACGCUCCCACCCCCUCAUCGGGUAUCGGGAUGCGGCAUGUGGUCUCCCGUCUCGCAAAGGGCGGUGGGCCGAAGAUAUGGCUGCCGGUGUAUCUUGCCGGACACAGCGCGUGGUGGGCGUUCUCGCUUUACUUACCGCAGUGCAUCCGGAACGUAGCCGACACAAUGGCCUUGAUUAGACCCUUUGAACGGUGUGCAUAACGCUCCGACC